GCUCAGGUUUUGAUAAUAGGUCUUCCUUCUGCAUUUCGAUUUCUCUUUCCUUGUUGAUGAUCUCCUUUGGCACAUCUUCUGGAACAAGAUACUGCACUUGAGGGUAUGCAGCCACUUGCAUGGCCAAAUCAUCAACUAAUUCCUUGAAAAUGUCACCACGCGAUACGAAAUCUGUUUCACAGUUAACCUCUACCAGGACACCAAUUCUGCUAUCAUGGAUGUAUGAUCCAAUUCUGCCUUCAGCUGUAGCUCUACUUGAUUUCUUAUCAGCACUUGCCAAGCCCUUUUUCCUGAGAUACUCCUGCGCUUUAACAAUGUCACCUGCAGUUUCUGUAAGAGCCUUUUUGCAGUCCAUCAUUCCUGCUCCUGUCUCUUCACGCAAUUGUUUCACAAGAGCAGGUGAAAUAGCUUUUGCUGCGGCUUCAUUUAAUGAAGCAGUCCCAUUUUGCUCACUUGAGUUCGCAAUAUCUUGAUCAGUGUUGGGAGCCCCCUCUUCCUGUUGAGCAGCGGUAUCAGAUGAUUGUUCCCCUACGGAAGGAGCACUUUCAACUUGAGUGUCUAAAACUCCAACACCGUCCUGACUUUCUUCAUCCUUGCUAUUCUCCAAAGAAGCUUCAGAUUGCCCAGUUGGGCUUGAUAUACUAUCAUUCUCACUGGCACUAGUUUCCUCUGUUUCUUUGACAGCCUCUGUGACACUUGGUAUUUCAGUUGCAACCACAUUUACAUUAUCAUCAGUUAGUUUCUCUACGACCUCCUCACCCACCACAGUUUCAGAUGCUGAGAUCUGAUCAGCUGCUUGCUCAUAUGAGCCAGUUUCAGCUUCAGUUUCCUCAGCAUCUCCUACAGGUGACACCUCAGCUUGCUGACCAAUUGUGGAUGUGCUUCCUUCAGGAGCUGACUCCACUUCUUCAUCAACGUUUUGUUUCGUCUCCUCCCCAUUUAUAGUUUCCGGAACACCAUCAUUUGCAGCAUUUACUGAUUCUUCCUCUAUGCUUGUAGUUUCAGGCAACACGUCUAUUUUAAUAGUCGCCGCAUCUGAUUCCUGUGCAUCUUCCUUUGAUUGUUCAGCUUGUUCGUCUUCUUUUUCCCUCUCAUCCAAAAAUGAAGAGAUCUCUUUGUUGCUACGGAAAGCCAAUAAAAAGGGAUUUGUUGCCGAAUAGACAACACCCUGGUUGAGCUUUGAGUCCAACUCUGAAGCAGCUUCUUCUUUUUUCAUGGUCAAAGUUACCUGUCCUCUGGCAAUGCGCAAUACACGGACAUUAACUUCUUGGCCUACUGUUAGUGAAGAGCCACUGUCAAUAAUUCCAAACACUUCAUCAGUUUCCUCUGAUGCUGGCAGGAACCCUUCCUCUCCUUCAGGAAGAGAUAUAAAAGCACCAGACCUGGUUAGAUUUUUUACAGUGCCCUCAAGAUCUUGCCCCUUGACAAACUUUGAGACUUUCUCAUCUCUCCUUUGGUUGUUCCUUUGUGUGCUCUUCCUUUGAGUUCGGGGUCUGUCACUAUUGGUUGGAGCAUCUUUCUGUUGCUGUGGCCUACUAGGAUCAUCACUUUCACGCAUGGUGAGAGAUAUGCGCCCUGUCUCAGUGUUUGCUUCAACUAAUCUCACUGUAACCUCUUGUCCAACAGAUACAAUGCUUCCUACAUCCUUUACAUAACUAUCACUCAACCUAGAAACAUGCACCAAUCCAUCCGUAAAAGCUCCAAAAUCAAUAAAAGCACCAAAUGGCUGUAUCGAUCUGACCUUUCCAGGAAAAGUUGCACCUGGAAUAAGGUCUUCAUUCUUCACAGGAGGCAUCUCACUCUUUCUAGCAGGUCUUGAACGCUUAGACUGAACAGAUCUAGGACUCACAUCUGAUACAGAGGAUUCUUCACUUAUUUCAGCAGCAUCAGAUGAAGCUUCAGCAACUCCACCAGAUCCAUCAUCUGCAGCAGUUGCUUCUACUUCUUCCACUGCUACAUCGGUUUCAGUUGCUGAUACUACGAGACCUCUUAAUUUAUGUCGUAAAAUGCAACCAACUCUAAAAUGGGGAAACAAUUUAAUAGAUGUUGACAGGGGCAGGAUAUAUUUUGGGGUAGGUAAAGUCUGCUUGCUGGAUUUUCGUGAAACAUCGUAUUUUGAUAAACAUUGAUUCCUUCUCGUGAGAAGGACAGCUCCUGGAGUAACUGAUACAUUGGUAGUUGCAAUUGUAACCAUUGGAGCCAUGUUGAUUAAUAUUUGGGGUUGCUAAGGUUUGUGAAGUACAAGGAUUAGAUCAUCUGUUCAACACCUUUGACAGGGUGGGUUGUAUGCAUAUAUAUGAAGAAACAAGAGAUAGUGUAACUGAAAUGAAGUUGCUGGUGAGGGAGGAGGGGAUAGGGGUCAGACUCUCAAGCACACCAACUCUUCCUUCCU
rnacentral:misc_RNA from 1 species